AGAUAUGAGGGAAGCUGGCUGUGACGCUUGUCACCCCAAUGACUACCAGGACUGACAGGGUUGGUCCAGUUGGCCAGCUGAAUGUCCCCAUUUCCUCCCUAAGCUGCACUUAGAGAAAAAGCCUUCUCUAAGGACUCACUGUCAGUGAAGGACAUAGGACUAAAUGCCUCUCCUGCCAGAACCUCCAAACAAAUGAACACUGAAAACUCAAGAAUACUAUCUAUUUUAUUUAUUUUAAAUUAUUUUUAUCUUU
rnacentral:snRNA from 1 species